GGAGAGGUGCCAGAGUGGUUGAAUGGGACGGUCUCGAAAACCGUUGAGCUGGUAACAGUUCCGAGGGUUCGAAUCCCUCUCUCUCCGCCA
rnacentral:tRNA from 1 species